UUUCCAGCCAGCGAUAACGCCAGAGAGGAGCACCCAAUGGAAUCGUAAUCGUUUCGGCUCAUUAAUCCAGAGGCAGCUUCGAAUGGCGACUGUACCUCUGACAGAUACCCGCUAUCUCCCCCCCCUCUCUUGCUAUCUCUAAUUACGCCUGGCACGUAAAUCCUAUUAAAGGCGGACACGCAACUUGACCAGAAACAUCAUCCAGUCAUCCAGUCAUCCGUCGCGAGAGAUCCCUCGACCGACUACUGUUCUAAUUCAAUUUCCUAGCACUCGACAUUCCUGCUGACCGCUGGUCACACGUCACUCAGAAACCAGUUAACCUUUCCAGACCUAUCUGCAGAGCACUCAACAGUCC